rnacentral:rRNA from 1 species
GCACAAGCGGUGGAGCAUGUGGUUUAAUUCGACGCAACGCGAAGAACCUUACCUGGGCUUGACAUGUUCCUGACCGCCGUGGAAACACGGUUUCCCUUCGGGGCAGGAUCACAGGUGGUGCAUGGCUGUCGUCAGCUCGUGUCGUGAGAUGUUGGGUUAAGUCCCGCAACGAGCGCAACCCUCGUUCUGUGUUGCCAGCAUGCCUUUCGGGGUGAUGGGGACUCACAGGAGACUGCCGGGGUCAACUCGGAGGAAGGUGGGGACGACGUCAAAUCAUCAUGCCCCUUAUGUCUUGGGCUGCACACGUGCUACAAUGGCCGGUACAAUGAGCUGCGAUGCCGUGAGGUGGAGCGAAUCUCAAAAAGCCGGUCUCAGUUCGGAUUGGGGUCUGCAACUCGACCCCAUGAAGUCGGAGUUGCUAGUAAUCGCAGAUCAGCAUUGCUGCGGUGAAUACGUUCCCGGGC